UCCUGGUUCUGCUCAAACUUGUGUGAAUCCGGAGUCACUCCUGAUUCAGCUGAAUCAGUAAGAGCAGUCAGAAGCGGAUUGCCCACCCUACCGUUCCUGUAUUAACAGGACAGCAGCGCUGUCAAGCUUUUCCCCGACAGACCAACAUCCUCCGGACUCUUACCCUCCACUAGCAACUUUUCUUUGAGCAUCCCACCCCACGGCAACAAACUCCUGGUAGUUUCC